GAAUGCUGACAUAAGUAACGAUAAAGCGGGUGAAAAGCCCGCUCGCCGGAAGACCAAGGGUUCCUGUCCAACGUUAAUCGGGGCAGGGUGAGUCGACCCCUAAGGCGAGGCCGAAAGGCGUAGUCGAUGGGAAACAGGUUAAUAUUCCUGUACUUGGUGUUACUGCGAAGGGGGGACGGAGAAGGCUAUGUUGGCCGGGCGACGGUUGUCCCGGUUUAAGCGUGUAGGCUGAUUUUCCAGGCAAAUCCGGAAAAUCAAGGCUGAGGCGUGAUGACGAGGCACUACGGUGCUGAAGCAACAAAUGCCCUGCUUCCAGGAAAAGCCUCUAAGCAUCAGGUAACAUCAAAUCGUACCCCAAACCGACACAGGUGGUCAGGUAGAGAAUACCAAGGCGCUUGAGAGAACUCGGGUGAAGGAACUAGGCAAAAUGGUGCCGUAACUUCGGGAGAAGGCACGCUGAUAUGUAGGUGAAGCGACUUGCUCGUGGAGCUGAAAUCAGUCGAAGAUACCAGCUGGCUGCAACUGUUUAUUAAAAACACAGCACUGUGCAAACACGAAAGUGGACGUAUACGGUGUGACGCCUGCCCGGUGCCGGAAGGUUAAUUGAUGGGGUUAGCGGUAACGCGAAGCUCUUGAUCGAAGCCCCGGUAAACGGCGGCCGUAACUAUAACGGUCCUAAGGUAGCGAAAUUCCUUGUCGGGUAAGUUCCGACCUGCACGAAUGGCGUAAUGAUGGCCAGGCUGUCUCCACCCGAGACUCAGUGAAAUUGAACUCGCUGUGAAGAUGCAGUGUACCCGCGGCAAGACGGAAAGACCCCGUGAACCUUUACUAUAGCUUGACACUGAACAUUGAGCCUUGAUGUGUAGGAUAGGUGGGAGGCUUUGAAGUGUGGACGCCAGUCUGCAUGGAGCCGACCUUGAAAUACCACCCUUUAAUGUUUGAUGUUCUAACGUUGGCCCGUUAUCCGGGUUGCGGACAGUGUCUGGUGGGUAGUUUGACUGGGGCGGUCUCCUCCUAAAGAGUAACGGAGGAGCACGAAGGUUGGCUAAUCCUGGUCGGACAUCAGGAGGUUAGUGCAAUGGCAUAAGCCAGCUUGACUGCGAGCGUGACGGCGCGAGCAGGUGCGAAAGCAGGUCAUAGUGAUCCGGUGGUUCUGAAUGGAAGGGCCAUCGCUCAACGGAUAAAAGGUACUCCGGGGAUAACAGGCUGAUACCGCCCAAGAGUUCAUAUCGACGGCGGUGUUUGGCACCUCGAUGUCGGCUCAUCACAUCCUGGGGCUGAAGUAGGUCCCAAGGGUAUGGCUGUUCGCCAUUUAAAGUGGUACGCGAGCUGGGUUUAGAACGUCGUGAGACAGUUCGGUCCCUAUCUGCCGUGGGCGCUGGAGAACUGAGGGGGGCUGCUCCUAGUACGAGAGGACCGGAGUGGACGCAUCACUGGUGUUCGGGUUGUCAUGCCAAUGGCACUGCCCGGUAGCUAAAUGCGGAAGAGAUAAGUGCUGAAAGCAUCUAAGCACGAAACUUGCCCCGAGAUGAGUUCUCCCUGACUCCUUGAGAGUCCUGAAGGAACGUUGAAGACGACGA
rnacentral:rRNA from 1 species